rnacentral:rRNA from 1 species
GACAGAGGGUGCAAGCGUUGUUCGGAAUUAUUGGGCGUAAAGGGCGCGUAGGCGGCCUUGCAAGUCAACUGUGAAAUCCCAGGGCUUAACCCUGGAAGUGCAGCUGAUACUGCUCGGCUUGAGUCCCGGAGAGGGUGGUGGAAUUCCCAGUGUAGAGGUGAAAUUCGUAGAUAUUGGGAGGAACACCGGUGGCGAAGGCGACCACCUGGACGGAGACUGACGCUGAGGCGCGAAAGCGUGGGGAGCAAACAGG